rnacentral:lncRNA from 13 species
CCUGGAUCUUGAGGAGGAAGGCACUUCUGAAAUAGCUGCCUGCAAUUCCUGGCACAUUGUAGGGUUGAACUGCCCUGUUUGCAGUAUGUGAGGCUGGUCAUCUGACUGGCUGUGGCCAAUGAAAUGUAAGUGGAAAUGAUGUGUAUUGCCUCUGGAUGAGUCAUUAGGACCCAGUGUAUGAUUUGCUACGUUUCCUUCUCUCUGCUGUG